rnacentral:rRNA from 1 species
GACGGAGGGUGCUAGCGUUGUUCGGAAUUACUGGGCGUAAAGGGCGCGUAGGCGGCUACGGCAGUCGGGUGUGAAAGCCCGGGGCUCAACCCCGGAACUGCAUCCGAUACUCUGUGGCUAGAGACCGGAAGAGGUGGGUGGAAUACCCAGUGUAGAGGUGAAAUUCGUAGAUAUUGGGUGGAACACCGGUGGCGAAAGCGGCUCACUGGUCCGGUUCUGACGCUGAGGCGCGAAAGCGUGGGUAGCAAACAGG